rnacentral:tRNA from 1 species
GGUCUGGUGGUGUAGUUGGUUAUCACGUCAGUCUAACAGCUCGAGGUCUCACCCUCAGCUGAGCACACUGAAGGUCUCCGGUUCAAGUCCGGGCUAGAUCA